CUGGUUAAGAAACUCUGUUCAUAUUCUGGGAUAAUUCCUGUUGCUGUCUCUGUGGCAUUCAAGUUUAUCUGCAGAAAGAAUACAGUAGUUCAUGACUUUAGACCUUCACUGGAGAAAUAUUCAUAGGUAUCAUUUUACCUUGAGUGAAUGGGGUAGCAGAUGACUCUCAAAUUCCCCAGGAAAUUUCCUUGAAUGAACUUAAAGGGGAAGAGGAAAGAAGUGAAUUACCAGGUAUAUGCUCCAGAAGUAAAAGCAUAUUUGCUUUGCCAGCACAGCAUGUGGAUGGAUCACCAUGUCCUAGCAUAAAAUACAAGCUUUCAGGAACAUUUAAAAAGUAUUUAGUGAGGGGAGGGGUUGGGGAAAUCUUCAUGUGCCAGAGAGGGAAAAGUUCAUAGACUUGCAUUAGCUCUGCUUUAGUCUACCUAUCCUUAUUGCAAUGUUGCAAACAUAGAUUUAAAUGCUGCUGCAAUUCAAUAUUUUUUACUUUUCUUCUUAGGAAUUUUUCCUUCAAUACAAUGUGGGCUUUCUUCUAAAGGGGUACUAGGAAAUCUAGGAUAUAAAAUGACAUGACUAUGCUGACAGGCACAAUUAGUCACAGUGCAUUUGUCAUAUCUAAAUAUAUCUAUGUUAUUUUAUUUCAUUGCUGAUUUUUCCUACAAGUUUCAGAUUAUCAAGUCAAUUGUGCAGACAUGCUAGAGUAUGAGACUAGGUGACACAAAUUUCUGAAACACUGAUAAAUACAGAUGAAGCAGAGAGGGAUUAAUGACAAAUCUAAGCAGAUGUUAGGAAUCAAUGUUGAUUGCUGAGGAAUGGCACACUAGAUGGAGUUUCAUUGAGUGUGCAAGGGCACUGUGAUGUUUGUGGUACACAUAAAGUGGAAGAAACAGCCCUAACACUAGAUAGUGUUGUUCCUUUUUGUUUAGUUCCUGAAAAUCUGUCAGUGGGCAAACAAACUGAAAUUGUGUCACAGUGUCUUCUCUGUUGCAGAUAUGUUAAAUCUCCCUAAGGACCAAAAAUGAGUGUAAAUUCUGCAACAGCUGUCAGGUCUGACAAAACAGCAAAUGACAUGUUGCUCUCAUGUGACUCCAGUUGACAGUAUACAAAAGUGUCAUAAAGGCUUUGUUUUACUAUAAUUUCUGAAUGUGAUAAAGGAUAACUAUAUUUAAUAUUCAGUGAGUUUUGAUGUAUUGCCUUCAUUCUGAUCAUCAUAUUGUUUUUAGUAGAAACAAACCCAAAAAAACCAACUGCAGUCCAGGGCUGGUGGAUACAUGAUCUGAAGAAAGCCCAGGGUUGUAACAGCAUUGUAAACCAAGAGUAUAGUUGUACUUUCAAACAGAUGGAGAGGGUGGCAUGGGUCUCCAGUAUUUUUUCUAAGCAGUUCACUCCAACAUAAGCUUGUCCAACCUCAACACAGAACAGCAAUGUUUAUCUUGGGAAGAUACAGCACUCAGUGUACUGUAUGGAGAAGAAGAUGACAAUCUUCAUGGUCACUUAAGAGGUAAUCACUGAAUAAAAUUUCAAUUAAUAAAAUUCCUACACUGUCUUGCAUGCCCCAGCUGGACUGGCUAGCCCUUGUUUUGCAGAGCACUCUCCAGAGUCAAUAGGAGACUUCGGCACCUGCAGGUUCCUGAGGGUCUAAAAUGCCUGUGAAAUUUUGUCUCAUAAGCAAGACAAACAGUGGAUACCUGUAAAUGAUGAUCAGAAUGAGAUUUCAGAAGCAGCUCAUUGCAAAUCAACAUGUCCAGAUAUAGCAAAAAGAAAAUCUUUUGCAGUUACAUCCCACAGAGGUAUAAAUACAUAUUGGUAUGUAUGCGCAAUAUGCAUUGCAUAUAAAUGCAAUUCAUAUGCAUGCAAAAAGAAGCUCAUUCUAUCUAGAUAGUCAUACAUGAGUCUCCUUUCAAAGGAAACCGGAGGCCCAAAUUGUAUCUGAAUCAUGUGGACCUUCAGUGCAGGUAACAGGCACCUUACCAACCCAGGAGAACCUACAAUUUCCAAUUAAGAGAGGAGAAGCACAAGUCCUAUAUAGAACAGUUGCAGCACAAUUCCCUUCCUGCAGGCGGCCAAGAAAGUCUGGUGCCAAGGUCUCAUCCUGAUGCUGUCAUUUCUUUUCUACUCUUUUGAGGCACUAACUGGAGAACAUUUCCUGUUCCACAUUAAGUGUCGAGACUGCAAUUCUGCCUAUCCUUCACACAGACUUCACAAAAUUAUAAAGGCAUAUAGGACUCUAUGUUCUUGUCUAGGUAUUAGAAAGACUCAAUCCGCAAAGCAAUUUCAUUUUGCCUAUCUACAGUGCUUACAUUAAAAAAAAAGGAGUUUCUAAAGUGCAUAUCAGAAAACAGUUUUACGGUGAAUUUAUGUUAGAACAAGAAAGAUCAAGAGAAGGUACUUGCCUUUGCAGGGGCAAAUAUUUUGGAUGUCUCUUAAUUUUCAAGAAAAAGAUCUUUCUAGGAUCAUUGAAGCUUUUGGGGUCGUGGCAGAGUAAGAAACUGAAUGUAGAUUUUCUCCACUAGAUGAGGAAUAUAAACAAUGGACCUUCUCCCUCCACUGUCUGUUUUUAGAAGAGCACAACUAGCUUUCCAAGCCUGCCCUUGGUAUGGCUAAAAGUUAGCACCUGAGCACACAAGGCAGUGUGAGCCUCCAUCUUAUUUUCUAGCUUAUCACAAUGAUUUUGUUUCUCUUUCUUUUAAUAAAUGGGCAGUACAUGAAGAUAAGGUAGUUCUCUAGUGACUAUAGGUUUCUAAAUUUAGAGCACAUGGCUUUGGUUACCCUCAAGGUGUCAGCACAGAUAUGUAACAAAGACCUUCAGCAGUCCAUGAAUUUGUUGUAGAAGUUUAUUUUUUCAUCUUCUUAAUGUAAAGUUUUGACAGCAAAGCACCAACAGUAUCAUUCCCCAAAGCAGAACUACCAAAAGGGGGAAAAUUUAUUGAGCUUUUCUCAGGAUGUCUCUAAUAAUGCAAAACUUUCAGCCAAGAAAUGGGGAAAUUUGCCUUCUACACAAUGACACAAAAGUAAUGUCUGGGAUCCAACACCGGUAUAGCUGAACUUCCAAAUGUUAUUUAAUAUAGUAAAAUGAGACUCUGGAAAGUGUGAACUUCAAUUAUAUUAACUAUUUUUUAAAAAUUCAACACAUACCAACAGCCUUUUGCCAUAGAAUGAAGGUGUGCACAUUUACUCUGAGAAUCCAAUUUACAUGAAACUUGGAGUCACAAUGGUACUUUGGGAGGGUCUUAUAUAAUUUUUAUAAGGACAUGUACUGCUCCAUGUAGACAAAUCAUAGUGCUGUAAGAGGGCUUCAUCUGUAAAAAUCCCUCCCACUUAAAGCAAACAGGUCACAGAAGUUGUUGAGGAGAAGCUCUACUCGAAAAGACUGGUGCUGUCACACCAUUUAUUUCUUUGUUGGUCUGAACAGAUCGUGACAAUCUACAUAGAAUAAAUGCACUAUCCUUUCUGGGAUCCUUUUUGCAAUACAAAUUACCCCUCUUCUUGGAAUCACUGAUGUUCACUGCCUGCAUUGAGUCAAGCUUCUAAACAAACAAAGACUUUUAACAACAAACACUGCAUUGUUCAUAAGAAAAAUUUGGUCUCUAUUUCAUUAGUCAUGUUGUUAGCUCUGUCUUUAUUUUAGCCUAGACCUUGAAAUUUGCAGUGUUCAAGUAAAAGAAGUGGAGGUCAAGGAAGCAUACUGAGGAAAAUGAAUGGGCUGAGAGAGGAAAGGAAAGUGCUAUUCCUGGAGAAGAGAUAAUUUGCAGUAGCAGAGACAGAGAAGAAGGGGAGUUUGACUUCAGCUUGAAAUACAGACCUGUUCUAUAAAGCAUCAAGAUGUAGUCUGUCUGUCAGAGGCUCCCCGACUGUGUUUCCUCCACUCUUCCAUCUUUUGAAGCCCAAGGACUUCCAGAGCACUUGGCUACAGAGAUCUGAUUAGAAGGAAACAUGGGUUCCUGUAGUCCUAAAAUAACCCAGUGAAGAAAAAAAAAAAGCAUGGCUGAAGGCCAAGAAGAACUAGCCAAAACAGACCUGCGGACUCCCCUGUGGUGAAGCAUGGAUGCUGGAAAACAGAGCACAGCAACUACUGAAAUAUAUUGGAAAGGGAUGUAGAGAAGGACACAAUGAUGGUUUCUGUGACAGGCCUGGUUCUGCUCCUGGCUAUAAAUCUGUACAAGAUCAGAUCUAAGUUGUACACAUGGUCUCCUGCAUUGCCACGCUGCUACAGAGUCUGACUACAGGAAAGAAAUCUGCCUGAGCAAGGAUUUACCACUCCAGGCAAGUGAUACACUCUGGUUUAUAAGUAUAAAUUUCCACAGAUAGGAGAAGCAUUUUGUUCCUUGGCCACAGUAGAUGCUGAUACAUGCCUUAGGUGGGAUCCUUGCUGAUGGCUGUAAGGUGGCACAGUAAAUGGAUCCUGUGCUGGCUGACAAUAUCACAGUGACAGAUGAGUAUUAUGAUAAUCACAAGGCACUGGAUAAUCACCUCUGUUUCUUACUUGAUGCCUGAGAAUUAGCUCUCCUCUUCAGAAUAAGGAGCAAUUUUACUGCAGUCAAACUCCAUGAUUUUGUGCUGCUCCAGACAGGACUCACCUGAAGCUGGCCCUACAUAUUUUUCUCAAAGAUUCAGAAUAACGUAAAUAUUUGAAGAUUAUGCUUCAUUUUAGAUAUAUUGGCCAUUGAAUGUAGGUGUUCAAUUUGUUUUCAGGAAAUGUGAACCACAGAUCAUCCAAGGCAAUGCCUCUCAUUUAUAACUCUGUAAUAUUGGUACUCUGUAACAUGAGCACCUGUAUCACUGAGAUUUUUCACUGUGAAGAAUUUUUGUAAGCACACAGUCAACAGUUAUGUGCCAUCAUAUAUAUCAAUUUAAAAAAAUAAUCUGAUAAAGCAUAAUAUUAACUCCUUUUGAAGAAAAGCACUCAGUUCAGGUUUUAUGCAGUAACAGAAAAAACAAGGGCUGUUUACCACAGCACACAUGUCACAAAAGCUGCUGGUAUUCAGCUGAGUGUCUGAUUUCUCUGUUUGAAAGAACAGUCCACUGGGUGCAGUUAAAAUGCAAAGGAGAAUAUAAAAAAAGUGAAAUCCUGUGUGGGUGAAUAAGCAGUUUCUUUGAAGUUCAAAUCUGACAUAUAUUUCAGCGCUCAACAGAAGCAAAAAUCGAUUCUCAAAUUACUCUUCUUUCUAGCUUUGGAUGAACUUGAAAGGAGAGCUGACACCAGCAUGUACAAACAUGUACACAACCAUUUCUGGGCCCUUUGCAUUUCUAGGAACAGGCAAAAACAACCAACAUGAGGAAAUAGCUUGGCAAAUAGAGCCAGAACACUGUCUCCAUUUUUUUACUACUCUUACCUUCUUCGGGUGACUGACCCCAGAAGACCUGGGGUUUUUGUUUCUUAAUGCUCCUAGUUGAAUAUUUCUCCCCUGGGGAAUGUUAGCUACAGAUUCUUCAUGAGAAUAGAGACAACAUGGCUCUGACCUUCUGCAUCAGCAUCUCCAAGAUCAGACAAGUACAGAGAGGUGUGUAAUUCCUCCCCUCCUUACCCUCCCUUCAGCCAACAAACCUCCUUUCUGCACCUGAUGAGUAGAGGAAGAAAGAGGAGAUGGAGAGGGAAGUAUGAAAGAAGAGCAAUUUGUUGCUUACCCAGAGAAAUUCCUCACCAGAUUAGGGCCACUGGAUCACCUCUCAAGCAAAAUCUGGGGCUGAUAUCUGAAGAUGUUGAACCACAUGGUCAGCUUUGCAGGUGGAGCCUGAGGUUCUGCUGAUGUCCUGAGAACUUGCAUGGGAUGGAAACCUGGUCCAGCACAUUGGUCCACAAAUAACAGCGUAAUCCACAGUCAAGGGCUCAGCCUCAACUACCCUUGGCCAUGAGAUACUGGUGGCAGGCUCUCAUCCUUACUCAUCCGGUGGGCCAUCUGUCCAGGAACACCUACUAUUCAUACCCAACCCCUUACAGAAUAUGUUCAUGUGGCUCAAGGCCUUUGAAAACCAUGGGGUGGCAAUUUUCUGUACAAAAUGACAUUCUCAGUGGAGUAAAAUAUUUUGUAAGAAGUUUAAUCACAAUUAUUUCUGUUUAACUGAAAUAGAAAUGUAUACUGCAUUAUUUUGAUUAUCUAAGUACUGUUGCUGCACUAGGAAAAGUGAUUCGCCCAGCAGCAGUGGGUUCACAGGCUCUUCCUACCACUUUAUAUUCUGCUUUGAGCAACAUCCAAACUCAAUUUAACAUUUGUAUUCUCUUCCUAGUGUUGUUAUGAGGUAAUGGUUCUCUUAAUCCAAACCUUAUCUGCCCAGCUGCAAUUUUUAUAUUUUCCUCUGACUGUGUUAGUCACAUAAAAUUGAAGAACAUGAGAAUUCAGUAAAUCUUUCAAAGCUUAAGAUUACAAAGGGUGGAAUUUGUUUCAUCAGUCAACUUUAUUAAUAAUCUGCAGUCUGAACUGGAUUUGAAAUUGAAGUGAGUAGCACUCACUAACAAAAGAAAUAAAAUGCACCAUGAGAAACAUUUUGUCUAUUAAUGUCUGCUACUUUUCAGUUACAAUAACUGAAAUAGAUUAAAUGUACAACAAAGAGUGGAAAAAAAUUAAAGUAUUUCUCUUUAUUUCUCUCCUUCUCUGUUGUUGCUCAAAUAGGAUAUUAAGGUAUACAUUGUCAUUAAAAAAUUGGUUUAUGAUCUUUAUUCAAGCAGUAAAGGCAGAAAAAUUAAGGAGGCAGAAAAAUUAAGGAUUUUUUGAGUAUAUAUUGAGUAUCAUCGACCUGAAUAUAGAUCUACCACUUUCAGAUGCCAUCAGCUGUGGAGUUUAUUAUAUUUUAGGCAUGAACUCCAUCUUUACAGCACAGGGAACAGUGAGGCCUGGAUUGUGGCUGACAUUUCUGUGUGGUGUGUAAAUGAACAUGUGCAUGGAUGUUUAUGGACUUGCAAGUGUCCCUCUCUAAAACAUCUUACCAGAAACUUUUCUAUGGAUUAGAAGGACCACCUUCUGCAAACCUUUCAUCAUGUGUCCAGCCUCUCUCACUACCUUCCAAAGGGAAAUUGUCUCCCCAGGAAAAUGUGCACUAAUUGCUUGCCCAGAAAGGAAAUUAAUGACUCAAAAAUUGUGACCAACAGAAUGCAUUUUGAAGAUAGCCAGUCCUGAGAAAUGUCAUCUUUGUUAGACUAAUUUCUAUUUUCUAGUUUUUGAAUUUGGGUCAUUUUUGAAUGGUGGAAGCUGAGGUAACAUGCCAUGUAGCUGUGAAGCUGUAUCACAGGGUAGAUCACUGCCCUUCCUGGUGGUGCGAGUGUACAGGAAAAGAGACGCAACUCUGGAAACUGUGGUUCCAACCCUGCCUCUGCACCUUAUCAAAUCCAUAUCAGCAAGGUUUAAAAGCCAGAGCACAAUGCCCAUUGUCAAAGCUCAAUUUUGAAAAAUGUCCUUACCAAUCAGAGCAGUUCUGCUCUGAUAAUCCGUUACCAUGCAUAAUUUCAGAGAGACAUCAAGCAAGGAGGCACAAGUAUUUUUUGCUGUAUGCUUCAGCAGUGAGAAUGUGAAAAGGAGAAAGAGUUAAUUUCUAACUCUUGGAGGUGGAGAAAGGCAAAAUGGCUGUUACACUCCAUCCUCAAAAUAGGAGUCAUUAAACAUGAAAAUAUGUUUAUUGCAGAGUUUUUACAUCAUAGUUAAAUGGCCCAUCAUUCAGGGCUUAGGUAUAGUCACAAAUCACAAUAUACUUCCACUUCUUCUAAAAGUGAGGUAACUAACCUGUGAGAUAUUUAUUCUAUCCAGGCAAUUUUCCAUAAAAGAUAUUUUUAUAUUUGAUCAGUACGUAUCCCAAACUGCUUAUAGUGUCAGAAGAGUUUUCAGGCUGGAGUUGUGAUGAAGAGGACUGUGUAGCCUUUUACAUGUGUGGCCCUUUCAGUCAAGAACAGUUGACCAGUACACCCAAUUGCCAAAAGCCAAAGGGACACAAAAGAUACUUCUUUUGUCCUUCUAGACAAAAGAUACU